rnacentral:rRNA from 1 species
AUUGAACGCUGGCGGCAUGCCUUACACAUGCAAGUCGAACGGCAGCGCGGGAGCAAUCCUGGCGGCGAGUGGCGAACGGGUGAGUAAUAUAUCGGAACGUGCCCAGUAGUGGGGGAUAGCCCGGCGAAAGCCGGAUUAAUACCGCAUGAGACCUGAGGGUGAAAGCGGGGGAUCGCAAGACCUCGCGCUAUUGGAGCGGCCGAUAUCAGAUUAGCUAGUUGGUGGGGUAAAGGCCUACCAAGGCAACGAUCUGUAGUUGGUCUGAGAGGACGACCAGCCACACUGGGACUGAGACACGGCCCAGACUCCUACGGGAGGCAGCAGUGGGGAAUUUUGGACAAUGGGCGCAAGCCUGAUCCAGCAAUGCCGCGUGCAG